UAAGAAGCCGUGUGGUAAUGGCUGUUUCCUCUUACAGCCAUUAUGAUUUCUUUUGUCUAUGUUUUUGGGAAAUAGACUCAUCACAGAGAAGUGGGAGCUUCUUUUGAUUGGCAACAGGGUCACUAGAAUAAAACUGCUCCAUUGAGGACAGCGUUGGAUUUCUGCGGUGGUUUGAGUGUGUCCUGGGACCAGCUGCUGUGGUUUCUCACUGGAGCUGUGGAUCAUGCACGGAGGUAACCAGAACACCUGCAGGCCGGCCAAUGCCAAGGAAUGAAGGCGUUCUGUUGGGUUUCGUGUCUCUCAGGACAGUCUGCUGGUGUCUCUGUGGGCAGUGAGCUGAUGUGCUGC